UACCCUGUGAACACUGCAAUAUGUGACGUCAUUGAAGUAUACUGUUGAAGCAUUCCAUUUUCGUUAGCGCCAGUGUUUAUAACUGGUUGGGAAUAAUAUCGGAACGUUUUUCAGUAACUGAUGAAUUUUGAAUUUUAUACUCACAGAAGCAUUUCUUGCAAAUAGGUUAAAUUCUCAAAAUUGCCUAUUGGACCCGAAACAGGAAAUGGAUCUUAUUCGCACAAUUCCUGUUGUUAUCGAAUGGACUUUAGAUUCUUCGACAGAUGAGUCAAGCGACGAAGAUCUUACAAUUUCUCUUAGCUUCUUCUAAAAGUUUUGUGGCAUAGGCAGUAUCUGUAACGGUUAAUAAUUUGUGAAUUGCAAAAAUAAAACAAAGGGAGGCAAUACCAAAAA